GUUGCUUCUACUGGUGAACUCUAUCUAUGUCAAUGAUGAUGUUCGUGUUUCCGAAGCAUAGAUUCAUUCUUAAAUGUUGCCAGUUUUAAACAGAUCGUUGUAUUUAAUCUCAUUGCAUCGUCUCUACCUGUCUAUUGGCAUAUCU